CCCUCCCCCCCAUCACUCUCGCAAGCUGGUGUCCAUUCCCUAAACUAGCAGGGUAUUCUGAUGUGUGGUGUUAAGACCCAUGGUUUGAACUGCUUGCAGUUCUUUCCUUCAGCUAGUGGUGUGAGUAGAAAGGAAUUGCCACAGGGGCCCUAGUUUGAAUUUUGUGGGGCCUGGCAGCACCUCUGUCAUUGAUGAUGUGGUCCCUCCUGUUCUCUGCUGAUGAAACCUGAAAGCGGAGGGCCAAGCUAUUUGUGUAUGGUCCCUCCCACCCCCAUUUUCUUCUCUUACAGAUUGCAUCCAAGGAGGCUGCAAUCUGUUCUGGAACACUGGCAGGGAAGGAGCUUCUUAACCCUCACCCUCUGGCAAAAGGAUCACUACUUCAUGGGAGGAAAAGCAGCUGGGAUGAGGUUUUUAGCAGAAGAAAUGCCAGCAGGGAGGAUUAAGAAGACCUUCUCCUGAGGCACGAUGCAGCCCCUGUGACCCCAUUUUGGGGGGAAAGAAGAAGGCAGAGUCGUGAUGGAGCAUCCCGUGUAGUUUUGCCCUGAGGACCAGUCUGCCAGGAAGGAUGAAAAAAAGGGGAGAUGUGCAUGGAUCAGAUAAAUGAGAAGAUGAGAAAUUAUUUAGUACUCCAAGAGGCUGUAAUUAAUGGGAUGACACUGUGCAAAGGAAAACCUAGGAUGAGUAAUCAAGAAGAACAUUUCUGGGAGCGUGAUCUGCUUAGGUAAUGUUUUUGUCCAUGUUUGUCUGGGUUUUGCAGGAGCAGCAUCAGAAGAUGUUAAAUCUGCCAAAGGCAACACCUGCCCCCCUGGUUUCCCCCAUUGAGCUCUACAGCACGAAUGUGGGAGUAGCGCAUGGUGGAUCAAGACCACUCCCUUCCAAGAAAAGCAACAGAAUGGAUGCCUUGUCUUGAGUUGUAUGGUUAGUCAUCAUUACUCCCUUCAGCC